UGGCUGAGUGGUAAAGCGCUUGGCUUUCGAACCAAGAUAUCCCGGGUUUGAAUCUCUG
rnacentral:tRNA from 1 species